GAUGAAGAACGUAGCGAAAUGCGAUAAUUAAUGUGAAUUGCAGAAUUCCAUGAAUCAUUGAGUCUUUGAACGCACAUUGCGCCUCAUGGCAUUCCGUGAGGCAUGCCCAUCUCAGCGUUAGAAAAUAUUCUCAAAUUUUAGUUUUGUGCUAAAAUUUGGAUCAUGUCAAAGAAGCUAUUACUAUUAUUGUGAUCGCUCUUUGGAAAUUGAUAGGUCUUUGAGUUGCUACUCAUAGAACGUGAUGAAUCUUUCUUCGUUCUAUUGUAAUUCACUCUGGUAGUCCUAAAACUUGUAUGCCUGUGGCAUAUCUUGUAAUUUGACCUGAGAUUGGGUAGGGAUACCCGCUGAACUUAAGCAUAUCAAUAAGCGGAGGA
rnacentral:misc_RNA from 1 species